GUCUGUCGGCCCCACCUCCUCCCGGGGUUUGACGAUCGCGGCGGCACCGCUCCUCCUCCCUGGUGCCGCCGCACCCU
rnacentral:ncRNA from 1 species